rnacentral:rRNA from 1 species
UACAGAGGAGCCAAGCGUUGUCCGGAUUGACUGGGCGUAAAGCGCACGCAGGCGGCGGCGCGCGUGGGGUGUGAAAUCUGGCCGCUUAACGGCCAGGCGCCAUCCCAUACGGCGCGGCUGGAGGGAUGCAGAGGUCGAUGGAAUUGCCGGUGUAGUGGUGAAAUGCGUAGAUAUUGGGAGGAACACCAGUGGCGAAGGCGGCUCACUGGACUGGUACUGACGCUGAUGCGCGAAAGCCAGGGGAGCAAACGGG